rnacentral:tRNA from 1 species
GCAGCAGGUGGCGCACUGGUUAGAGCCCUCGUUCUGAACGCGGAGCUUGUACGUUCGAAUCUUAUCUGCUGUA